UUCUGGCCUCUCGCUCCUCCCGUACUGCUGAUUUGCCCUGCUCUGGAUCAGGUGGGAUCAUCUACUCUGACUCCACACUAGCAACCAUGGACCCCCAGUGAGAGUCAGGAGUAGGUUAAAGACAGAUGUGGCCACACGAACCUUUCCACGCAUUUCAGACCUUGGCUCCUCAGCUGCCGUUAUAAGAUGCACCGUCCUACAGGUGAGUGAUGCUGGAACAGGCAGAGAACCAGAAGAAGCACACAGACACAGAAGCAAAGAGAUGAAGAGUGUUCUGCCCUCUUAGUCUGCUCUGUCUGCUCCUGGAUUCCUGCCAAGCAAGGUCAGCUUUGCUUGAUGAACUGAUGGGUAUUGUGGGCAGUGGGACGAAGGACACUGCCACACAUUGUGAGCCAAAGGAGCCAGUGCUGGGCUCAACCUCUUUUGUGGAAGAGCACACAUUCCAGCAUCCCAGAGCUGAGCAGUCAUCAUCUGGUCCGAGUCACUUGGUAUUUUAUUGUUUCCUUAUGAUGAUUCUUCACUUCAUUGUGCUUGAAAAUAUUAAUGUUUUCUAUUGUGUAUGUAUGUUUUAAUUCUUGGCUUUCAUCUCUAUAUUUGGGUUUGUUUUUCAACGUGCAGUUUGAAAAAAAAUUAAAUCAACCAAAAAUUUG